rnacentral:lncRNA from 1 species
GGGGAAACGCGUAGAUGAGCCCGAGGGCGAGAUCCGUGUGGGGGCUGAGUCUCGCUUUUAGCUCUGUGGUUCCUGCGUCUCCAGGACCUGCUGAGGAGGACAUGGGACACAGAGGAGGUUCUCCCAGGGGGACGCGCCUGGUCGCCGCCUGCGUCCUGCUGGCCGCCUCGAACCUCGCCUGCGUCUGCUGGGUCCUGCUUCUGAAGGCUAAGUCCAGGACAGACACCGCCUGUCUGAAUGGGCUGUGUUCACAUGAAUUGACCCCAGAGAUACUAUCUGAUAUCUUCAGGAACUUCCAAAAAAAAAAUUCUUCAAGGGCUCAUGGGAUUCUGAAAGCCUACAAUAAUACCAACCUUUCGGAACCAGACUUUGGUCCCCUGGCGUGGGAGGAAGAAUGGGAGUCGGAGAAAGUUGUGCUGGAGGAGAACGGUGUGUGGAUUACGGUGAAGGAGCAGGGCUGGUACCUGGUGUUUGUUCAAGCCACUUUCCAGCUGUGGAAGGGCAUGGCUGAGCCUGCAGACCGCAUGAACCUACGCCUCCAGGUUGACAUCAAGUUCAGAGAGAAUUCGCAGGAGCUAUUUGCCGCCUUCGAGGACAAAACUCAAAUGCUGACCAACGACACCCUGGCUGCUCGGCUAAGUCUUCCUGUGCUGCUGUGGCUGUCUGAGUCAGAUGGGCUGCGGGUUCAGGCCAAGCCGAGGAAGCACAUCGUCUUCGCCUCAUCACCACAUUCCACCUUUCUGACCUUAUUCAAAUACUCUGACAAAUAGAGGCUCUGGUCAGUCAGCAAACAUGAACUCCAGGCAGGCAGGGGGCUUCAGGACGAAAAGGUUGGGAACCUAUCCUCUAGAUUACAUCCGUCACAUCCGCCUGGUGGACACUUUUCAUCCAAUUGAACUCAGUAAAGAAGUGAAGAGUGAAAUUCAAGCUCCAGAACAGCCCUGGAGUGAGACGUAAAUGGUACCAUGCCCACUACCAAGUAAAAUAAACAGAUUAUCAGAGCUUUACUGAUUGGUUAA